GAUGAACGCUGGCGGCGUGCCUAAUACAUGCAAGUCGAGCGAACAGACGAGGAGCUUGCUCCUCUGACGUUAGCGGCGGACGGGUGAGUAACACGUGGAUAACCUACCUAUAAGACUGGGAUAACUUCGGGAAACCGGAGCUAAUACCGGAUAAUAUAUUGAACCGCAUGGUUCAAUAGUGAAAGACGGUUUUGCUGUCACUUAUAGAUGGAUCCGCGCCGCAUUAGCUAGUUGGUAAGGUAACGGCUUACCAAGGCAACGAUGCGUAGCCGACCUGAGAGGGUGAUCGGCCACACUGGAACUGAGACACGGUCCAGACUCCUACGGGAGGCAGCAGUAGGGAAUCUUCCGCAAUGGGCGAAAGCCUGACGGAGCAACGCCGCGUGAGUGAUGAAGGUCUUCGGAUCGUAAAACUCUGUUAUUAGGGAAGAACAAAUGUGUAAGUAACUAUGCACGUCUUGACGGUACCUAAUCAGAAAGCCACGGCUAACUACGUGC
rnacentral:rRNA from 1 species